CCUACGGGUGGCAGCAGUGGGGAAUAUUUGGCAAUGGGCGCAAGCCUGACCCAGCAACGCCGCGUGAAGGAAGAAGGCUUUCGGGUUGUAAACUUCUUUUGUCAGGGACGAAGCAAGUGACGGUACCUGACGAAUAAGCCACGGCAAACUACGUGCCAGCAGACGCGGUAAUACGUAGGUGGCAAGCGUUAUCCGGAUUGAUUGGGUGUAAAGGGCGUGGAGGCGGGAAUGCAAGUCAGAUGUGAAAACUAUGGGCUCAACCCAUAGCCUGCAUUUGAAACUGUAUUUCUUGAGUGCUGGAGAGGCAAUCGGAAUUCCGUGUGUAGCGGUGAAAUGCGUAGAUAUACGGAGGAACACCAGUGGCGAAGGCGGAUUGCUGGACAGUAACUGACGCUGAGGCGCGAAAGCGUGGGGAGCAAACAGGAUUAGAUACCCGAGUAGUC
rnacentral:rRNA from 1 species